UCUUGCAUGACGUAGUGGCUUGAGUGUUGGACUAUGACUCUGGAGAACAGGGUUCGAAUCCCUGUUCAGCCA